rnacentral:rRNA from 1 species
AUUGAACGCUGGCGGCAGGCCUAACACAUGCAAGUCGAGCGGUAGAGAGGUGCUUGCAUCUCUUGAGAGCGGCGGACGGGUGAGUAAUGCCUAGGAAUCUGCCUAGUGGUGGGGGAUAACGUUCGGAAACGGACGCUAAUACCGCAUACGUCCUACGGGAGAAAGCGGGGGGAUCUUCGGACCUCGCGCCAUUAGAUGAGCCUAGGUCGGAUUAGCUAGUUGGUGAGGUAAUGGCUCACCAAGGCGACGAUCCGUAACUGGUCUGAGAGGAUGAUCAGUCACACUGGAACUGAGACACGGUCCAGACUCCUACGGGAGGCAGCAGUGGGGAAUAUUGGACAAUGGGCGAAAGCCUGAUCCAGCCAUGCCGCGUGUGUGAAGAAGGUCUUCGGAUUGUAAAGCACUUUAAGUUGGGAGGAAGGGUAGGUAACCUAAUACGUUAGCUAC